AUCUAUUACCUGUACCUUUUAGAAGAAGAAAGUGACAGUGAAAGUGAAGACAGUGAUAGUGAUACAGAUACUGAUAUUGAUACGGAAACUGAAAGUACUGGAAGGACAAAUGAAGUUCCUGAUGAUCAAUAGAAAAGGAAACAGCUGCAAUUUUGUUAGUACAAAAGGGAUGAUUCGGAAACUUGAGCUUUAUGCUCUCAUAAGUUAAAUUGCUUGUGAAUUUUGAGAGCCAUGUUACAAUGUGACUAAUAGAUAAGAAAAAUGACAUGCAUUUUGGUUAUUUUGAAUUUUCAAGUUAACUAGGAAAUUUAUUAUUGUUUUAUGAAAUUAGUAGUUUUGGAUUAUUGAACUAAAGUGCCAUAAGAAACAAUUUUUCCUCUUUGCUAUGCACAGCUUUGAUUUCUGUUUCUUCUGUUUUUCAUGUUACCCUAAAGUCAGGUCUGUUGGUAUUUGUUCUGCUCAUGGAGGAGAUUCAGUAUUGAUUUAUUUAACCACCAACAGUGUGGAAAUAUAACUAGAAGUUUUUUCUUCUGUUAGACUGAUGUUAGUAUUUAUGUAAGUUCCUAACGUUCUAACUUAAGACUCUUUCAGUGUCACUAGCUCAUCAACCAAGCUGCCUAGUUAAGGUGACAAUAUUGUUGGUUACUGCCUAGUCCCCAAUUCUAUCAUCAAACAUCCAUUUGAAUUUUCAAGUUAGUGAGGAAGUUUAUUUUAUUGUUGUAUGAAAAUAGUAGUUUUGUGCUGUGGCAAUAGAAACAAUUUUGUUUCUUUGCCGUGCACACCUUCAUUUCUGUUUCUUCUGAUUUUCAUGUUACCUAGAGUCGGGUCUGUUAGUAUUAGUGCUCAACAGCUAGGCUUGUUCUGCUAAGAGCUUUUUUUAGCAUAUGAGAAUCCCCCGGACCCCAACUACCAAUUGUGUGGGGAUAUAGCUAGAAGUUUUUUUUUGAUAGACUAAUGUUAGUGGUUAUGUUAGUUUUUAGGGUUCUAACCUUGAACAUUCGACUUAACUUCUUUGGUGUUGCUUAGGUCAUAAACCGAGCCACCUAGUUAAGGUGAUAUUAUUGUUGUCUUGUCUUCAAUUCUAUCAUCAAACACCUAUUUGUUAUUUAGCUUUGCCUAAUGAAAUGCUUAGGUUUUAUGGUUAAAAAAAAAAAUCAGCUGUCAUAUUAAAUCUGUUUGAUUAGUUUUUUAAAAGGCAUGAUGUUAUCUCCUAGUGUGUUUUACUUCUUUUCUGCUAAUUACCUUUUGAUGUUAUCGAUCAUUCUGAUCUUUUUUUGGUAGUCUCACUUUUAGCAGCUAGUGUUUCAAAGGGAGUUUUGGGAAGAAAAAAAUUUGUUGAGAAAAAAUGGAUUAAAAACACAAACUAUUAAUGUAUUCAAAAUAUUGACCUGACAACAUAAUGUAGUGUGACACUCUCAUCUCAUGUGCCAUUCAUAUAACAAUAAUGCUACUUAUCACGAAACUUUUUGUGCCGACAAAAUCACGAUGUAUGGAAAUAACAGAGUACCACUGCCUCCUUUCUCUUUAGCCGCACAUGUAUUUCAAAUAAACAGCAGAUCUGACGGUGGAAAGGCAUUCGUGAAACACUCGGGAUGAUUUCUUCGUUGUAAAUAGCAGCGCCCUUAAUAUAAUUAAUUGUUGCAAUAACCACAUGUUGGCCAUGUCAUUGCUUUUGCAUGGGAUCCCAAAAAACGCAGAACUCGAUAAAACCUGUUAUUUGUGUGAAACCAAAAAAAUAUGUAAAGAUGAAAACUAUAUUUUAUUCUUGUAGUGAUUGCAUAUCCAAAUAUAAUAUUGAUGUACAGUAUAUCUGUAGAUGAAAAUUUGAACAUAACUGAUUGGAACAGCGUGAUAAUGAGAAUGCAUGGAAUAUUGAUGUAUCCUUAAUUGGAACAGCGUGAUAAUGAGAAUGCAUAGAAUAUUGAUGUAUCCUUAGCUGAAAAUUUGAAUUUCACAGAUCUCAGAACAUGGUGGUUAGUUGUCUACUAUUUUAAAUUUUUAAUUAGUUGAAAGAGUUGAAAAAUAGCACAUCAAUAACUUAAGAAGUGGACUUUCUUUGUUCUACUUAAUUUAUUUGAGUUUCCUUUGAAUUUUUAAAAGCAAAAAAAAUAAAGAAUAAAGCUCACGUUUUACCCACGUCAUUAUAAUAUAUAAGCAUGAUCAAGAUGCACAAUUUUUAAUCAAGUAAUUGGGCUUAAGUGAUUAAUGAACUUCCCUCUAGAACGAAUCGUUUGGAGAACUGAGUUCGAUUGGAACAAUUUUUUGUUAGACUUUACUUACAUAUCUGCCGAAUUACGGAUUACUAAGGUCUCUUCUCCAUUGAAACCGAAGAGUUAACACAAAAAAAAAAAAAAAAAAAACGCAAUCUUCCAAUUCAUAUUAUCGUUGUUUUUAAAAGAUAUCAUAAUAAUGGGUUUAUACUACUGGUAGUAUAUAUACACUACUAGCUUUGGUAACAUUUGUAUCCAUAGAUAUACCUUUUUGUCAGGAGAAAAAAAAAAUCUAUACAAAAACUACUUCGGUGUUCUAAUCCUUUCUGUUCAAUAUGUCUAUUGAAAAAUAUGGAGAACACUCGAGUGGUUUCACCUAUGAUGUUUUCCUAAGUUUUAGAGGAGAAGAUGUGCGGCACAAUUUUAUUGGUUAUCUUCGCGAUGCAUUGCAGCAUCGGGGAAUCAAUGCUUUCUUUGAUGACAAGAAUCUGAGAAUAGGGGAAGACAUUUCACCUGCACUUUCAAAAGCCAUUGAAGAAUCUAAGAUCGCAGUUAUUGUUUUUUCUGAGAAUUAUGCAUCUUCCAGGUGGUGCCUUGGCGAACUCGUUAAGAUAAUCGAAUGUACGAAAAGAAACAAAAAACAAAUUUCUUUUCCAAUCUUUUUCCAUGUUGAUCCAUCAGAUGUAAGACAUCAGAAAAAUAGUUACGAGAAAGCCAUGGUUGAUCAUGAGGUUAAGUUUGGAAAAGACUCUGAAAAUGUAAAAGCAUGGAUAACAGCAUUGUCUGAAGCAGCAGACUUGAAAGGCCACCAUAUCAAUACCGGGUAUGUAACUAAAGUUGUCUUAUAUGUAGAAAUAGUCUUGUAUGUCACAAGAUCAAAUCUAUAAUGUUUAGGCACAGUACAUAUUCUUCUAGUUCAAAAGGUCCUUGUCUCUGACUCUUUUUCAAGUCUAUAUUUUAUGUUGAUAAUGUUGGAUUUUAGUUCAUGGCAUGAUCCGCUUAGGUACUUGUAAAUUAAAGUAAAAUACUUCCAAGAACAAAAAUAUUGAUUAAGCAUGAGUGAAUUUGAACUAUAUAAACAUUUAUCAUAUAAAUACUUGUAAAUAUAAGUAGUUUCUUUGAUUAAAAAAUUUACGAACUGUGUUAUCCUAUACUGAUGUUCAAGUAAGUGAAUCGCAUUUUUGUUUAAAAAUGAGUGGUAACUAUUAUGCUAGAAUGAAACAAGUCUUGAUUUUUGAAAAAAUUACGUGUCAUAUUCUUGCAGAUCCGAAAUUGACCACAUUAAAGAGAUUGUUGAAAAGGUCCAUGCUAACAUUGCUCCUAAACCUUUGCUUUAUGGUGAUGAUCCAGUUGGACUUGAACAUCAUACAGAAAAUGUGAUGUCACGUCUAGACAAUACUGAUCAUACAGUAAUGUUGGGUAUACAUGGACUUGGUGGAAUAGGGAAAACAGAACUUGCCAAAUCAUUGUAUAACAAAAUUGUGCACCAAUUUGAAGCUGCAAGUUUUCUUGCCAACGUUAGAGAGAAAUCAAACAAAAUCAAUGGCCUAGAAGAUCUUCAAAAGACACUUUUAUCAGAGAUGUUUGAGAAGCCAGAUACCGAUCUGGGAAGUACAAGUAAAGGAAUCAAAGAAAUAAAGCAAAAGCUGGGCAAUAAAAAGGUUCUUUUGGUUCUUGAUGACGUUGAUAACAAAGAACAAUUAAAAAAUUUGGCAGGAGGAAGUGAUUGGUUUGGCCCAGGUAGUAGGAUCAUUAUAACUACAAGGGACAAAGGUUUGCUCAUAGGUACUCAUUCUUUUGUUGUUCAAAAGAUUUAUGAAAUGACUGAACUUAAUGAGAAAGAUUCUCUUGAGUUGUUUUGUCGGAAUGCCUUUGGAAAGAGCCAUCCUGAAACAGGCUAUGAAGCUGUGUCUUCUCGUGCGGUUGGAUAUGCCAAGGGUCUUCCAUUGGCUUUAAAAGUAAUAGGUUCUAAUUUGGGUGGUGGAAAGAGUUUAAGAGCUUGGGAAGAUGCAUUGAAAAAUUACGACAGGAUUCCACGUAGAGGAAUUCAAGAGGUGCUCCAAGUAAGCUACAAUGUGUUGGAGCCCAAUGCCCAGAGUGUUUUCCUAGAUAUAGCAUGCUUCUUCAAAGGGGAUAGAGUAGAUUAUGUUGAAGAGAUACUUGAUGACUUCGCUGCAGUAACUGGUAUUGAAGAACUUGUUAAUAAAUCUCUCUUAAUAGUUAAAGAUGGCUGCUUGGAUAUGCAUGAUCUAAUACAAGAGAUGGGCAGAGAUAUUGUCAAGCAAGAGUCGCCACGAAAUCCCGCCAAACGUAGUAGAUUAUGGUCUCAUAAAGAUAUUAUUAAAGUAUUAUCAAAUGAAAAAUAUGUAAGAAUCAAAUCAUUUACUUUUAUUUUAUGUAUUUAUAAAUUAUCGACGUGGUAGAUCACAAUUACAUACCUUUUUCGGAAACCCUGAUUUUAUCUUUUUUACUUGUUUUAAAGGGAAGUGAUGUACUUCAAGGGAUAAUGCUUGAUCCUCCCCAACCUAUAAAACAACAAGAUUGGAGUGAUACUGCCUUUGAGCAGAUGAAUUGCCUCAGAAUUCUCAUUGUUCGAAAUACAACAUUUUCAUCGGAGCCUAAACAUCUACCAGAUAAUUUAACUCUGCUUGAUUGGGAGGAGUACCCUUCAAAGUCAUUUCCCGCAAUGUUUCAUCCAGAGGAAAUCAUCGUCUUCAAUUUGCCUGAAAGCAAACUUACACUGGAAGAGCCAUUUAAGGUAAACUCGUAGCUUUUUAUAUGUUAUUUUUUGUUUUAUUUUUAUUUUUAUAUAUAACAAUAAUAACUAUGUUUGUUUGACUUUUCUUUUGGCAGGUAUUUUCAAAAUUGACUAUCAUGAAUUUCUCAAAAAAUGAAUCUAUCACCGUAAUUCCCGAUGUUUCAGGAGUCGAAAAUUUGAGAGUACUUAGACUUGAUAAUUGCACUAACCUAAUUAUGGUUCAUGAAUCCGUUGGGUUUCUCGAACACCUUACUCACUUCAGCGCUUCAGGAUGCGCCAAACUUCGAAAUUUCCAGCAAAAAAUGUUUUUACCAUCCCUUGAAUUCCUUGACCUUAACUUAUGUGUUGAACUUGAACACUUCCCAGAUAUACUGAACAAGAUGAAUAAGCCAUUGAAGAUUUAUAUGAUAAAUACUGCAAUUGAGGAGUUGCCAGAUUCCAUUGGUAAUCUUAUCGGGCUUGUUUCUAUCGAGAUGACAAGUAGUUGGAAGCUCAAAUAUAUACCAUGUAGCUUAUUCACACUACCAAAUGCUGUCACCUUUAAAUUUGGAGGAUGUUCUCAACUUGCCUUGAGAAGAUUUCUACAUGAUAUCCCUUCAGCAGCCAAUGGUCGUUCAACAUUAAAAGCAUUGCAUUUUGGAAAUAGUGGUUUGUCUGAUGAAGAUCUUAAGGCAAUUCUUAUCUCUUUUCUUGAAUUACAAGAGUUGAUUGCAUCUGACAAUAAUUUUGUCUCUCUCCCUGUGUGCAUUAAAGACUCUGCUCACUUGACAAAGCUUGAUGUCAGUGGUUGCAAUAUGCUUCGAGAAAUUCCUGUAUGCAUCAACUUAAGAAUUCUGAAUGUUUACGGUUGUGUGAUGCUUGAACACAUAUCAGAGUUGCCAUGCACUAUUCAAAAAGUAGAUGCAAGAUACUGCAUCCGCUUGAAUAGAGAGACGUCGGAGAUGUUAUGGUAUCAGGUACUUCACCUCUUUAUAGCUUGUGCGAAAUAAAUUUGAUGCCUAGCUUUAUUUUAGGAGGUAAUAAGGGAGAUAUGUAUGUGUAUUAUUUACCUCAUUUUAGUUUAUCAAAAUAUAAAAGAAUAAGAAUCGUAACAUAAAAACGUGCCGUGUAAGUAUCAUUUUACUUUUAUAAUGUCUUCUAUGUGGCAAGUUAAUGUUGUCAUUCGUUUGUGGGUCAAAAUUCACUCUUUUAUAAUGCUAGCUUUAUAUAUCACAGUCACAGUGCAAACGUGGACUUUAGUGACAAAUAUAUGCUACCGAUUUUUUGGUUUUUGUAAUAUGACAGGUGAAAAGCGAGAGACGUGGAUUACAGAUUGUGAUGCCUCAAAAGAAAACUGGGGUUCCAAAUUGGUUUGACUACAGCUGCAAAGGAGGGAAUCCGCGGUUUUGGGUUCGUAAGAAGUUCCCCAAUGUUGCUUUAGCAUUGGUAUUCGAGGGAGUGACCGGGAGGGCCAGAAAAUCUCGUCGGCUACUUGUUGAGCUUCACUUGGUUAUAAAUGGUCUCUGUGUCCGCCGUAAAGGUUAUUACAACUUCAGAAUUGAACAAAAUCAUGUGUUAGUUUGUGAUUUGCAACUAUUGUUCAGUGAUGAGGAGUGGCUGGGCCUUGAUGCAUUACUUCUUGAGGAUGAGUGGAAUCAAGUGCAGGUUUCAUAUGAAGCCCCGUCUAGUGUGACACUAAGUGAUUGGGGAGUAUUUGUGUACAAGCAAGGAACCAACAUGGAAGAAUAUGUCCAAUUCAUGUGUCCCGACCUAAAGUACUCACAGCUGGUAACUGACAUAUCACCCACAAUGACAAUAGUUCCUCCAAAAGAUGAUAAGCUAGAACAGAUGAAGUUGAUAGAUCAGUUAGCUCUAGAUGAAAUGUUACCUGGGAUGUUGAGGGAAACUAGGGACAUGGAAGGCCGCAGUUCAAAUGAAGGAAAUUUACAAGACCUAAUGGCGAUUGUGAGUGGCCUAAAUAAGGAGGUUCAAGAUGCAUUAGAAGGUAAACCGCUGGAUAAAAAGUCCCCCCUGGCAUGGAUUCUUCAGAUAGUCAAUGAAUCAAAUGAUGAUAAUGAUGAGCAAGCAAACUUUGAUCAUACAGAUGAAAUGAAACCCGCCAUAGGUGUAGGAGAAGCUUCAACCUCUGGCCACCAGGGAAGGUCAGAGGCCCAAGACAGCAACGCUGAGCAGGAUGGAAUAAUGACAGGGAUAUUCUUGAAUGGAAUGGGAACGGGACUUCGUGAAGCACAGGGUAUCUUUCCUCCUCUAGAUAUAGACACUAUCAUGAUUGCUGCCUUAAAUAGAGGUGAAUGGAUUAGAUUGUCACUCCCAGAGUCUGAGGCCGAAAUGACGAUAUACAUGGAAGGAAUUAUCAAUGGACUGCUGGAAGCAAAGCUGAGCUUUCCUACUCUGAAAGAGUGGGAAAUACUAAAUACCGUGUUAAGGAAGGAAGGCCAUAAUACGAUGUUUCAACAAAUAGAUUGGACUGGAAUAGUGAUUCCAAGCUAUGAAGAUCCUUUGUUGCAAACAUUCAUGAUGAUGAAGCAAGGAAGUUGUGAAUCGGAGAGGGCCAAGAGUAAACUCUUCUGCAAGUUGCUGGAGGAACAAAAUGCUCUGCGCAAGAAAUUUGAAGAAAUUGAUAAUGAAAUUGCUACUAUGGAUAAUUCAAAGAAGGGUCACAUCCUUAAUGAGAAGCUGGCUGAUGUUUUGAAAGGAAGAGCUGAAGAAUUGCAGAGGUUCUAUGAUGCUGGUAUUGAAGGCUUCAAGAACUCAAAAGAGAUUCAAGAUCUUAUGACAGCUACAUACUCAAAUGGAAUGAGGAAUGGUGUCCUUGAAGCACGGGCCAUAUUACUUGCUCUGGACAUGGACAUAAUAACUCACGUGUUUGAGGGGAAUGAAAAUGAAAUUUCUGCUCAGGAUAAAGAUAGUCGCCUUCUUCCUUCUUCAGAAAAUCAAUAUUACAAUUUUGUGGAGAAGCUUAACACUCAAUUUGCCUGGUAUAGUUCAAAUAAGGAUCAGAGCCCUGAUGACUGCCACACAAAGGAAUCAAGCAUUUCUGACUCAAAAUCUUCUUUGGGUAGCACAAAGAUUUGUGCAAACAUUGGAAAAGAAAGUUGCAAAGAUGUUAUAAAGCAUAAGAAGCUGGCUGCUGUCUUAAAAGAAAGAGGAGAAGAAUUGACGAGUCUCUAUGAUGCUGAAAUUGAACAAUUACAGAACUCAGAAGAGAUUCAAGAUCUAAUGAGUGCCAUCUACUUGAGUGGACUGAAGGAUGGAGUCCUUGAAGCACAGGCCACCUUACUUUCUUUGAACAUGGACAAACCAACUCCUAUGUUUGAGGAGAAUGAGGAACAUAUUACUCAUAUGGCUUCCAAUGAUGAAGCUGUUAUUGAAAAUGACGAUGAUAAGACUAUUGGCAAAGAGGAUAAUCCUAGUCCUACUGGUCCAGAAGUUGACAAAACUAGGGACACUCCUUACCCCUAUGGUUGCUUCUGGAGGAUUUUGCACACUUAUUUUUGCAAGUGUUUUUCUUAGUUGUAUGAGUAAAAAAAAAUGAAUAAUUGAUGCACCUAGAUUGCACAAGCCAUGUUUUCUACUUUCAUUAUUAGUGUCUGUUGAUAGUAAUAGACAAUGAACAAGCCAUGUAAUUGCAGCUUGUGGGAAGCAAUAAGCAUUUAUUUUUGUUUAAGUGGUAACAUAGUUCUUCAAGUUACAGUUCUAAGCAUUGUAUGAAAAUGCAUUAUCAUCCACUUUGAUGUUUUAUUUUGUUUGCUUUUUUGGAAGUGUAAACUGAUCUGAAUUCCUUGUAGAUGGAUCAACUUCCAAUUGCUUGUGGCCAUAGAUUAAUUCUUGGUUUUCCAACUAUAAUUAUUUGGUUUAUUGGUAAUUAAUACUACAUCUAAAUCAUUAUUAAUUUCUUUUAUCAAUGUUUUUUUACAUUCAUUCAACAAUAUUGGUGAUCCUAUCAAUUUUCAUUUUCACCAUGGAGUGUGCAUUAGUAGUUCGAAAUCCUAUCACUUUUUGAAGAUUUUAAGACAAGUAUGGUGUAUCUGUGAUGUUUCUGUUACUUCCUUCUAAACUCGAAUCAGGGCCUGUUUGGAUUGCUUAUUUGAACUCUGAACUCAUUUGAUUAAUGAGGGCCAAAUAAAUUUAUCAGUGAAUAUACAUGGUCGACCACGCAUGAUGUAACUGGAAAUUCUGUAUCCGAAGGAAGUGUGCAUUAGUGGUCCGAAAUCCUAUCACUUUUUGAAGAUUUUAAGACAAGCAUAGUGUAUCUCUGAUGUUUCAGUUACUUCCUUCUAAACCUAAAUUAGGGCAUGUUUGGAUUGCUUGAUUUGAACUCAUUUGAUUAAUGACGGCCAAAUAAUUGAAAACACUGAUGUCAGGGAAUAAACAUGGCCGACACAUGAUGUGUCAACAAUGAUAAGAGAACAUCAAAUACGCGCUCCAGAUUCAUAUUAAAACAAUUGAAGACAUUGUUGACGGUGAAUGAGCAUUGUCGACGCAUGAUGUGUCGAUAAUGUUUAUUCAUAUUAUUAGAUAAGAAAACUUUCCGCAAUAUUUAUCAAAAAAAAAAAAAAAUCAUCACUUUAAUUCUUAUAUAUUGUGCUUUGAGGAAUUAAAUAGAAAGACUAAAAACACUCGUUUAUUGAUAUUCUGUUUUUUAUAUAAAAGUAUGGACUAAAAUUAAAUGAAACUUAUACAAGGACUAAACAUAGCAGUUCUAAUAUAAAUUUUAAAAUAUUUUGAUUUUUCUUUUUACUUAGCUCCUUUUGUGAAGAAAAAAACAUGUAGCUUUGUUACUAUAUAAAUACAACAUAUUUGACUGCUACAAAUAUUGAUAUGCAAGAACAUAAGUUUGAAUAUGAUAGGUAUCAUUUCUCCACACCAUAAAAUAUAAGAGUUUUUUUUUAUCUUAAUUAAGUUACAAGAGACCCGUGUCAUCUUAUCUAAAGGUUAUUGAUUUAAAAUAUUUUUUUAAUAAUAAAAUAUAAGAGUUUAAUUACUAAUAAAAAAAAUAAUUAAAAGAGAUUAUAAUCGAGUUCCCUACCCUCCAAAAAUGUGUAAACCAAACAUCUUAAAUUUAAAUAAUCUCACUUUCCCUCUUCAUUUCCCUCCAACAACCAAAAAAACCCUAAAAUAAAAACCCUUUAUUCCUCAAUUCAAUUCAAUCACCACACAACUGCUUCCUCCAAUCCCUAAAAUCUAAUCGCGCGCUUUCCUCCGCCGCUAGUAAUACUACUCCGAUCACACUCGUAACUCCUUUUCAACUUCCUUUUUAUCACUAUACUAUACUAUUAUAUUAUUUAUUUAUUAUUAUUCCAUGAUUUUCAAGCAUUUUCUUUCUUAUUGUUCCGACUUGCGUUGUGUCUCCAUUUUAGAGGAACCUACUUCUGACCUAACACUAUCAUUGUGUUAUUCUUUUUGUUCAAAAUUAUUAAUAAUUAAUAAAGCAUGUACUAGUGGAUGUGAAAAUUGUUCUUUGUAUCAGUGUGGAUACAAUUCUCAGGAAAAUUGAUGUGUUUGAAUAUUUUUAUUUUGAUUGUAAUGAUAUAUGUGUUGAUAUAUAUUUACUCUCUUUUCUAUGUAAAUUUCCAAUAAUAUAAUGUAGUUAAACAUUAAUGCAGACUUUCAAGUAUGACAACUAGCUUGUUUAGUUCAAAUAAUAAACGUGGUAGAAAUGAUGAUGAUGAUGAAGAAGAGCGAAAGCAGAAGCAAAGGCCACUGUUCGGUUGUACGCAUAUGAAUAAGAUUAUUAUUGCUGCGUUGAUAGGCAUCUAUUACCUGUACAUUUUGGAAGAAGAAAGUGAUAGUGAAAGUGAAGACACGGACACUGAUAAUGAUACAGAUACUGAUAUCGAUACAGAAACGGAAAGUACUGGAAGGACAAAUCAAGUUCUUGAUGAUCAAUAGAAAAGGAAACAGCUGCAAUUUUGUUAGUACAAAAGGGAUGAUUCGGAAACUUGAGCUUUAUGCUCUCAUAACUUGAGAGCCCUGUUACAAUGUGACUAAUAGAUAAGAAAAAUGAAAUGCAUUUUGGUUAUUUUGAAUUUUCAAGUUAACGA
rnacentral:lncRNA from 1 species